AUGACUUCGGAGAUGGAGUCGUUGGUCGAGAGCAGCUUCUCCGCCAGCUUUGCGUGUCGGCCUCCGGGUCUCUGCUUCCCGCGCGCUCCCGCAUCUUCAAGAUCAUCGUGAUCGGCGACUCGAAAGUGAGCAAGACGUGCCUGACCUACCGCUUCUGCGCCAGCCGCCUCCCCGACCGCACCGAGGCCACGAUCGGCGUGGACUUCCGCGAGCGGGCGGUGGACAUCGACAGCGAGCGCAUCAAGAUCCAGCUCUGGGACACGGCGGGACAGGAGCGGUUCAGGAAGAGCAUGGUGCAGCACUACUACAGGAACGUGCAUGCGGUCAUCUUCCUGUACGACAUGACCAGCUUGGCCAGUUUCCACAGCCUGCCAUUUUGGAUAGAGGAAUGCAAACAGCAUUUGCUCUCGAAUAGCAUACCACGGAUUCUCGUUGGAAACAAGUGUGACUUGAGGAGUGCCCUUCAGGUUCCCACAGUCUUGGCACAGAAAUUUGCAGACACACAUAGUAUGCCUUUGUUUGAAACCUCUGCUAAAAGCCCGGAUGAUAAUGACCACCUGGAAGCUGUAUUUAUGACUUUGGAUCAUAAGCUGAAGAGCCACAAACCAUUAAUGCUUAGCCAACCUCCUAAUAACAGAAUUACCCUGAAACCUGAAGCAAAGCCUGCAGUGUCAUGCUGGUGCUGA